rnacentral:misc_RNA from 1 species
GAUGAAGAACGCAGCGAAAUGCGAUAAGUAAUGUGAAUUGCAGAAUUCAGUGAAUCAUCGAAUCUUUGAACGCACAUUGCGCCCCUUGGUAUUCCGAGGGGCAUGCCUGUUCGAGCGUCAUUAUAACCCCUCAAGCACGGCUUGUGUGUUGGGCCUCCGUCCUCCUCCCGGGGGACGGGCCCGAAAGGCAGCGGCGGCACCGCGUCCGGUCCUCGAGCGUAUGGGGCUUCGUCACCCGCUCUUGUAGGCCCGGCCGGCGCUUGCCGACACAUCAAUCUUUUUUCCAGGUUGACCUCGGAUCAGGUAGGGAUACCCGCUGAACUUAAGCAUAUCAAUAAGCGGAGGA